UACGUAGGGGGCAAGCGUUAUCCGGAUUUACUGGGUGUAAAGGGAGCGUAGACGGCACGGCAAGCCAGAUGUGAAAGCUCGGGGCUCAACCCCGGGACUGCAUUUGGAACUGCUGGGCUAGAGUGUCGGAGAGGCAAGUGGAAUUCCUAGUGUAGCGGUGAAAUGCGUAGAUAUUAGGAGGAACACCAGUGGCGAAGGCGGCUUGCUGGACGAUGACUGACGUUGAGGCUCGAAAGCGUGGGGAGCAAACAGG
rnacentral:rRNA from 1 species